CCGGUUUUUUGACAUUGGGCCCUUGAUUUCACAUUAUUACAUCAUGUUCUAGUGACCCAUGGUAGUUUUGUGUCAUUUGGAGCCCUCCCGAAGAUUUUCGGUUUUGUCAUAUCCAAGUAACGUCUUCCUUUGGGCAUCGAGUUGAAGGCACAAACUAAACUGUUCAUAUUUUUUUCUUUAUGGUACGCCACCACCCAUAACAUGUAUGGACAUAACUAACGUCACAACAUGCAGGUUUCGUCCCGCUUCUAAUUUUUGAAAUAAAAAGUCGCUGUGACAUCAUCAACGUGCGACGCCGACGCUGCCAGUUUGUUGACAGCAGAGACAGAGCUCGUUCGCCAGCGACUGAAUAAGGACAAACGGGAGAAUCCUAUGAAAGUUUCUAUUUAGUUGCAAUGGGGUUGAGUUUGCACAUAUCCAGGAUACAAAAAUAAAAUGUCAAGUCGGAUAAAGUACAGUUUUCACCGGCUUCCUCUCGGCAAUUGGGAUAUUUUGAAGCUGUGGCUUCACUAGUCACGGAACAUCCCACGCUUACAACCAUCUUACAAUGCUUGGACCAUCGGGUGUGUAAUACCCCUUUCUCCGCAAAGGACUUUAAUUCCAGGAAAAGAUGGCAAAGGGUUUCAACAACAGCAUACAAGAAUGGUGUGCCGCUGACCGCUGAGGAGCAUACAGACUAAACUGAGCGUUGCAUCCACAGAUGGCUGUGCCUACUGUGCAUCAGCAGUAUUCAUCGAUGGGAGGAAGAUGGUCCUCAGUACACCUGCCAACAUCCACCCUUGACUGAUGAGGAGCAAGAGAGAACAGCGGAUAGCACCAGAUCCCCCUGCCACUGCUUCUCACAUUGCAUGAUCCGAAUGUGUGCUGGAAGUCUAUCACCACAGCAGGAAUCCGGAGGAGUUUCAUUCAGUUGCUGCAUUGUGAUGACAACCAGAAACAACUGGAGACUU